rnacentral:rRNA from 1 species
CCUACGGGAGGCUGCAGUGAGGAAUAUUGGUCAAUGGGCGAAAGCCUGAACCAGCCAAGUAGCGUGCGGGAUGAAGGCCCUACGGGUCGUAAACCGCUUUUGCACGGGGAUAACACCCUCCACUUGUGGAGGUCUGCAGGUACCGUGCGAAUAAGGGCCGGCUAAUGCCGGGCCAGCAGCCGCGGUAAUACGGAAGGCCCGAGCGUUAUCCGGAUUCCAUGGGCUUAAAGGGAGCGUAGGCGGGGCGUUAAGUCAGCUUUUAAAUCCGGCGGCCCAACCGGGGCACGGCAUUUGAAACUGGAAGCCUUGAGUGCAGAAGAGGCAGGCGGAAUUCGUGGUGUAGCGGUGAAAUGCAUAGAUAUCACGAGGAACCCUGAUUGCGAAGGCAGCCUGCCGGAGUGCGACUGACGCUGAGGCUCGAAGGUGCGGGUAUCAAACAGGAUUAGAUACCCCUGUAGUC